CCCUUAGAUGUUCUGGGCUGCACGCGCGCUACACUGAUGCGCUCAACGAGUUUAUGACCUUGCCCGGAAGGGUUGGGUAAUCUUCUUAAAACGCAUCGUGAUGGGGAUAGAUUAUUGCAAUUAUUAAUCUUCAACGAGGAAUUCCUAGUAAGCGCGAGUCAUCAGCUCGUGCUGAUUACGUCCCUGCCCUUUGUACACACCGCCCGUCGCUCCUACCGAUUGAAUGAUCCGAUGAAUACCAUGGAUUGAGAGUACGAAUAGGUUCGCUUAUUUCUGCUUCUCGAGAAGUGGAGUAAAUCUUAUCAUUUAGAGGAAGGAGAAGUCGUAACA
rnacentral:rRNA from 1 species